CCUACGGGUGGCUGCAGUGGGGAAUAUUGGACAAUGGGGGAAACCCUUAUCCAGCGACGCCGCGUGAGGGAAGAAGGUUUUCGGAUUGUAAACCUCUGUCAGUGGGGACGAUAAUGACGGUACCCACGGAGGAAGCCACGGCUAACUACGUGCCAGCAGCCGCGGUAAUACGUAGGUGGCAAGCGUUGUCCGGAUUUACUGGGUGGAAAGGGAGCGUAGACGGUGCAGCAAGUCUGAUGUGAAAGGUCGGGGCCCAACCCCGGGACUGCAUUGGAAACUGUUGAACUGGAGUACAGGAGAGGUAAGCGGAAUUCCUAGUGUAGCGGUGAAAUGCGUAGAUAUUAGGAGGAACACCAGUGGCGAAGGCGGCUUACUGGACUGUAACUGACGUUGAGGCUCGAAAGCGUGGGGAGCAAACAGGAUUAGAUACCCUUGUAGUC
rnacentral:rRNA from 1 species